GAAAAGAGAAAAAUAAAAUAAGAACGAACCUCAAAUCAAUAAACUUUCUUCAAUAUUCAAAAGGGCGAAUUUGUACAACACAGUAUCGUUCUGACAGCCAAAGUGAAAUUUCAUCAAUGGAAUCCGGAUCGAAAACCUCGUCGUUCGACUCAAAGUGCGACAACUUGUCAAGUACGAGGAAGAACUUGGACUGAAACUCAGCUUGACUAAGACGCCAAAUCGACUCCGUCCGGUGUCGUACGUGAGUGAAUUAGUUCCGGCAAAAAGACGACGGUGGUGAAUUUGGUUUUGGUGAUUGACAACGAAAUGGGUGGAGCUACAGUAGGGACCUGCUUCAGAAGCUAUGGUUUGAUCUUUUCCCUUCAAAGUAUUCUUGAGUGAAUUCUCAUUUUGAAGUGGAAAUUAUAGUGCAUUUGUAUGGAAAAUUUCUUUGUUUUCUCCCCUUUAUCCGUUGUUGCUCACUGUCCUCCCUAUUUUUAUGUGUGUGUAUUUAGGUGUAGGUACUAUUAUACAGGGGUAGGGUUUAGGUUAGGGAUAUGGGCCUAGGAGUUAUGGGCUUGAAAAUUAUAGGCUAGGAAAUUGGGCCAAAGACUAAAAAAAAUGGACUACAAGAUUCAUAAANNNNNNNNNNNNNNNNNNNNNNNNNNNGAAUUCUGGAAAUGGGGAUCUCCACAACUGGAAUCUAAACAUGAAUAGGCCUAUCUCGUUUAUUAUCUGGAAUAUUCGAGGGGGGAACAAUGAUACUUUCAGGCUCCACUUUAGGGAGAUGAUCGACACCCACAAACCUAGCAUGGUUACACUGCUGGAAACGCGUAUGGAUAAUCAUAUGGCUCUUCUUAAUCCAUUUGGAUUCACUGAUAUGAUUGAAAUUCCGGCUAAUGGUCAAUCAGGGGAUAUGGUAAUUCUAUGGAAUCACUCUGUAGUUAAUGUGCACAGCUUUGUUAGAAGGAACUAAGAAAUCAGUGCAACCAUCGAGGUAAUCCCUACUAACAUUACUUAGUUAUUUACCUCUAUAUAUGCUAGUACUAAGGUAAAAGAAAGAAAUUAGCUUUGGGAAAAUCUUAUUUGCACGCAUGAUCACUUUAAGGGUCCCUGGUUAGUAGGGGAGACUUUAACUAUGUUCUAGACUCUAAUGAAAAAUUAGGAGGAAACUUGGUUAGUAGCAAACGUACAAAAUUCCUAUGGGAUUGUAUUAAUAAAUGUGGCCUCACAGACUUAGGUUACAAGGGCUGCAAAUUCACUUGGUCCAAUCGUAGAAGGAAAAAUAAAGGUCUCAUCAUGGAAAGGCUAGACAAAAUUCUAGCAAAUAGCAAUUGGAUCAGUGCAUUCCCAAGUGCUUCUGUCACUCAUCUACCCAAAACUCACUCUGAUCACAAUCCCUUAUUACUCCAAUUAAUGUCUAACCAAACCAAUAGACUUCCUAAACCUUUUAGGCUAGAAUCCUUCUGGUGUAGACACCUCAGUUUCCCUAACCUUGUUAAAGAAAACUGGAAGGGUGUAGAUUACCAUGAAUUCUCUAACAAUUUUAUCAGUAGGGUCAAAGAUUGGAAUAACAAUAUUUUUGGUGAUAUCUGCAAAGAAAAAAAAAGAAUUCUUGCUAGACUAAAAGGCAUCCAAGUAUCCCACAACUAUCAUAAUAGCAUCUUCCUUCAAAAUUUAGAACGGCCCCUUCAAACAGACUUUAAUAACUAUCUAAAAAUUGAAGACGACUACUGGAAACUAAGGGCUAGAAUUUCUUGGGUACAAGAAGGAGAUGCCAAUACUAAGUUUUUUCAUAUUAUGGCUACCAAUAAUAGAAGGAAAAAUAAAAUCAUGUACUACAAUGACGACCAAGGCAACUAGAUUGAUAAUCCAAUAGACCUUCUAAACCACACCAAAAAAAUUUUCAAGAAUGACUUCACCACCUCCCAUGAAUCUACUCACUGGGCAGACUUUAAUCUAGAACUAUCAGUCCACAACAAAUAAACCCUCAAUAGUUUGGAACACCCACUUUUGCCUAGAGAGAUCACCAAUGCAGUCUUCUCCUUUAAACCAUUCAAGGCUCCAGGCCCGGAUGGCAUCCAUCCUUUUUUCUAUCAGAAAUAUUGGAACAUUGUCGGGCCCUCAGUCAUCAAGGGUUGAUAUCAAGUUUUCAAAGACAAAACCCUUCCUCCAGAGAUCAAUGAUACUUAUAUCUGCCUAAUACCAAAGAUCAGCAAUGCUAACAACCUAAAAAACUUUAGGCCCAUUGUCCUAUGUAACACCUUUUACAAAAUCAUUACCAAAAUCAUCGCAAAUAGGAUUAAAUCCUUCCUGAAUAAGCUAAUUAGUCCCUUCCAAGCUAGCUUUAUCAAAGGUAGAAGAACAAGUGACAAUGCUAUACUAGUCCAAGAAAUCAUCAAUCACUUUAAAAAAAUGAAAGGAAAAAAGGCCAGUAUGAUUCUCAAAUUAGACCUGGAAAAAGCAUUCGACCGACAUGAAUGGUCUUUCAUCUACAGAAUGCUUAAGUUCUUCAAUUUUUCACCUGCUAUUUCUACCUUAAUUUUAAAUUGCAUUUGCUCUAGUAGAAUUGCUAUCCUAGUUAAUGGAUUCACGACUGAUUUCUUCAGUCCAAGUAGGGGUAUAAGACAAGAGUGCCCAUUAUCGCCAUACAUAUUCAUCCUAUUUAUGAAAAUGUUCUCCCGUCUGAUUUUCUACCAAGUGGAUAUAUGUCAAUGGGACCUAAUCCACCUCAGUCCAAGAGACACAGGUAUAUCCCACCUUUUCUUUGUCGAUGACCUGACUCUAAUGUCCAAACUCAAUGAGAAGUUUUGCAAAAUAAUAAAGAACAGCCUUUCCCUCUUUUGCAAGUUAUCAGGGCAGAAUAUUAAUAUCCAUAAAUCUAAAAUUUUAGUCUCCAAGAAUUGUCAUCCCAACACAGCUCAAGAGGUAGCCUCUUACUUUAAUAUCAAAAUAGAUAAGUCCUUUGGGAAGUACCUGGGAUACCCAAUCCUAAACAAUCAUCCUUCCCCAAAGGACUACCAAUACAUUAUCAACAAUAUGCAAAGAAAAUUGUCGGCCUGGAAAGGAAAGUUUCUCAAUAUCGCAGGAAGAACUACCUAGCUAUUUCAACUCUUAAUGCAAUCGCUAGUCAUGCCAUGCACUAUACCCUUCUUCCUAAUAAAACCCUGAAGGAAAUUGACCGCAUUCAAAGAAACUUUAUAUGGGGUACCAAUAGUGAUUUAAAAAAAAUUCAUUACAUAAGUUGGUAUAACAUUACUAAGCCUAAAGAAGAAGGAGGCUUAGAACUAAUUACGGCCAAUAAUAAAAAUCUAAUCUCCCUUUCUAAUCUUGCAUGGAGACUCCUCACUAAUACAACUGCCCCUGGUCAAGUACUCUCAUUCAUAAAUAUGCCCAAUGCAAACCUGCAAAAACUGCUCCUUCGUUUGGAAAAGUAUUCUAAAAGGAUGGUACAUUUGCUCCAAGGGUAUUACUUGGAUACCUAGUGAAAAUUCAAACUCAAUAUUUGGACAUCUAAUUGGAUUCUAAAUUGUAAAUCUCUUCAACAAUCCUUUCAUGGUCCACUCACUCGGGAAGAGAUUACCAUGACCAUCAAAGAUAUAUAUGUUCACAAACAAUGGAACCUCUCAAACAUUUCCUUCAAUAUUCCAAAAGAAAUUACAACCAACAUCCCAUAUGGUCACUAUCCUCCAAUGGAAGCUUCACUUCCAAAUCUUGUGCCCGGAUCCUUCAGGAAAAAACACCUCAGCAAUAUGACUUUAAAUGGAUUUGGGAGUUCAAAUGCCCUAAUAAAAUCAAAUACUUCCUUUGGCAAUGUCUACACAACAGAUUACCAUGCCGACAAUACUUCCAACACAUUGGAAUCAACAUCGAUAACAUGUGUGCCAUGUGCCAUAAUAAAGAGGAAUCUCCAAGGCACAUCUUCCUCACUUGCUCCAUUGUCCAAAGCCUGUGGGCACAUCUGGGGAUAAUGAUCCCCCCAAACUCAAACGAACACUGGCUGCUUCAGCUUAAAAACCAAUCUUCUAACUUUUGUACUGCUUUCAUCAACUGACAGCACCUUUUUCCGUUCGUAAUAUGGGGAAUCUGGUUAAAUAGGAAUAGUAACAAUAUAAACAACACAACCAUACGCCCUCCAUCAACAGCUUUGUAAAUCAUGCAACGGAAUACCACUUUAUGACAUCAAAUAACAACCCUAUUACCCAAAUGGAAACCAUCAAUAUUAAAUGGCAUACUCCUCAAAAGGGUUGGAUAAAACUCAAUAUCGAUGGAGCACAUGAAGAACACAAAAGCGGCAUAGGUGGGGUUUUCAGAAGUUGCAAAGGAAAGUGGAUAAUUGGCUUCCAAAAAAAUUCCAAUGCCAUAUGCCCUCUUCAUCGGAUUUACAAUCACUUCAUGAAGGGCUCAAACUAGCUCAUAGAUUUAAUCUGUUUCCACUGAAAAUUGAAACUGACUCCACAGAGGCUAUCAACGCUAUUAACAAUGGUCAUGCCAUACUAAACAACGUAAUUUACUCUUGCAGGUCAUUAAUGCACUAGGAGAAGGGCCUAUUACUGAGGCAUAACUUCAGACAAGGGAAUAGUGUGGCUGAUGAACUAGCAAAGGAAGCAAAAAACCAAGAUGAUAGCAAAUACAUGCAUGAAGAAGUUAGAAUAUUAGUGUCACCGUCAGUUUUUGUGGAAAAAAUGCUUACAAUUGAUAUGAGCGGUGAACAUACUUUGUCAAAGAAACUACCAAGCAGUGUUUGUAAUAUGUUAUAGAAAAUCAAAACAUUAUGAAGGAAGGG
rnacentral:lncRNA from 1 species